rnacentral:rRNA from 1 species
AGCGAACGCUGGCGGCAGGCUUAACACAUGCAAGUCGAACGCCCCGCAAGGGGAGUGGCAGACGGGUGAGUAACACGUGGGAACGUACCCUUUGGUUCGGAAUAACUUGGGGAAACUCAAGCUAAUACCGGAUAAGCCCUUAUGGGGAAAGGUUUACUGCCGAAGGAUCGGCCCGCGUCUGAUUGGCUAGUUGGGGAGGUAGUGGCGCACCAAGGCGACGAUCAGUAGCUGGUCUGAGAGGAUGCUCAGCCACACUGGGACUGAGACACGGCCCAGACUCCUACGGGAGGCAGCAGUGGGAAUAUUGGACAAUGGGGGCAACCCUGAUCCAGCCAUGCCGCGUGAGUGAUGAAGGCCUUAGGGUUGUAAAGCUCUUUUACCCGGGACGAUAAUGACCGUACCGGGAGAAUAAGCCCCGGCUAACUUCGUGCCAGCAGCCGCAGUAA